UAUACUUGCAACAGCAGAAGUUGGGCUCUUUUUAAUGUAGCUCACGAAUAUGUUACAUAGCUUCUCAUACAUGGAUAUCACCAAUUACAAGGGGAGAGGCACCGGAGGCAAGGCAGGGUCAUAGUGCAGCACUUGUGUGUAGAAGGCUGCUCAUAUUUGGUGGGUAUGGAAAAUCUCCUGAUGAUGAGGAUGAAGUAUAUUAUAAUGAUCUCUUCAUAUUGAACACAAGUACAUUCUUUUUAAAAGUCGACAUUUCUUCUUUGCUUCUAGUCCAAAUUGACAUCUAUUUGUGAAAUUUCCCUGUCUGUGCGUAUGAGAGGUGGGUUUAAGACUUUACUUUCCAUGAAUGUUGUGUCCUCCAACUUAUUGAAGUACUAUACUUGUAGCAUGCGUCAUCAGUUACUACCGCUCGUCAAAUGUUUAUUGAUUUAGAUUGCAGAGUUCAGUAUUAUCUUCCUUGGGUAGACAAACAUACUGUUUCAUGCUCACAGUGAUUGACUGUCAGCUAGUCAGCUUUUCUCCAGUUGAGUGAUGGACUGUAGCUUGAAGGUUAGAGUGGAAUAGCUUUUGGGAAAGAGGAGCCUUAUGUUGUUUGCUUAUUCCCCUUUCAUCGCAUUGCAUUGAACAUAUAUAGUUCUUUAAGUUCAUGAAGGACGGUAGCAAUAUACUGAAAUAUUGUUUUGAGUUGAUGUUUCCUUAAAGUGUUCCUCUCACUUGAUUUGUUGUAAUAGCUUGCUAGAGACAUAAGAAACUUGUUUCAUUGCUUCUAAUUGAAUGAACUUGUGACUGCAUUUUCAAUCUGAAAUUUUCUCAACUGGUAAAUGAAGAACUUUGAGUGAGGUCCAAGGAUCAUAAAGCUGUUUACAAUCAGACUCUUGUGACGAUAGUGGUGGAUUUGAAAGCAGGGGUUCUAAGUCAUUGAUCUGAUAGUUUGACGUCCAGCACUGCUUAUAGGUAUGUAAUUCAUGUCGCAGUGGCCUACCAAUUUGCUAUGCUCGUGAUGCCUCUAUGUUUGAAUUUCAUCUAAUUUUUUGUAUCCAUGACAGCUUUCUGAGUCACUUCUUGUAUAUGACAAAGUUGUUAAUGCUUGCUUUUGAGAUAGACUUUACUUUACUAUGUCAACUUUCUAUGGCAAUGAUGGUUUUUGUUGAUUUUGGAAUGUUAAUUAUUUUUGCUGAUUGCUAGAUGUCUUCGUCGACGGAUUCUAGCCUCACAAAUAGAAGGAAGAGAUCCAUUAUGUGGGAUCACUUUAAAAGGAUUCCAUGUAUAGACAAGAAUCAAGAAAAGGCUGAAUGUUUAUAUUGCGGGGUCCACAUUGGUUGUUCUAGUACUCAAGGGACUAGUUCAAUGCAUCAUCAUUUAGAUAGAUGUAAGGAAUAUCCAUAUGCAAACAUCGAGAAAAGGCAAAAAAAUGCCUCGGGUCAACCUGUUGGGGUUGGUAGUUCACCAUGGAAAUUUGACCAAGAUGCUAGUAGAAAAGAACUAGCGACCAUGUUCAUUCUUGGUGAAUUGCCCUUUAAGUUUGUAGAAAAUGAGGGUUUUCGGCGAUUUGUGUAUAGAAUCCAGCCAAAGUUCUCACUCCCUACACGUAACACGUUGAGGAGUGAUUGUUAUGCGUUGUACAUGGAGGAAAGAAGAAAAUUGAUGAAAUAUUUUGCCAACACAUGUCCUAGAGUUUGUUUGACGACCGACACAUGGACCUCUUGUCAAAAUUUGACUUAUAUGUCUCUCACUGCUCAUUUUGUUGAUGCUGAUUGGAAGUUGCAGAAGAAAACCCUAAAUUUUUGUCAAAUCCGGGGUCAUUCUGCCGAGAUAAUAGGAAAGGCGGUUGUUGAAAAAUGUUUGACUGGUUGGGGGAUUCAAAGUAUUUUUUCCAUUACCGUGGAUAAUGCAAGUUCAAAUGAUUUGGGAAUUCAAUACUUGAAAAGAAGACUUAAUUCUUGGAACACUCUGGUAUUGAAAGGUGAAUUACUCCACAUGAGGUGUUUUGCUCAUAUAUUGAGUUUGAUUGUGAGAGAGGGGUUAAAAGACAUAAAUGAUUCCAUUGUUAGAAUACGUUCGGCUGUACGUUAUGUGAGGUCUUCUCCUGGGAGGUUGAGGCGGUUUAAGGAUUGUGUUGAACUAGAGAAUAUUGAGUCCAAGAGUCUUGUAUGUUUGGAUGUGGAGACUCGUUGGAACUCGACAUAUAUGAUGCUGGAGGCGGCUUUGAAGUUUCAAAAAGCUUUUUUCUUAUUGGAAAUUCAAGAUAGCAAAUUUGUUGAAGAACUGUCCAAGGCGAAAGGGUUGCCUACUAGUGAUGAUUGGGAUUAUGCUAGUCACCUUUUUCCUUUCCUGAAGUUGUUCUUUGAUACGACUUCAAAAGUUUCGAGUUCUUCUUAUGUCACUAGUAAUGAUUUGGCAAAGGAUGUCUAUGGGCUUUUUGGGAUGAUUAAUGAAUAUUGUGAGAAUGAGGAUAAAAGUUUGCAAGAAAUUGCUAAAAGAAUGAAGACCAAAUUCAAUAAGUAUUAUGGCAAUGUGAACAAUAUCAAUCUUAAUUUGUUCAUUGCUUGCAUACUUGACCCUCGACAUAAGUGGGAAUAUGUGAAGUAGUUGAUUAAUGAUGUUUAUGAGAGCAAGCAAGCAGAAAUUUUAUGUGAUAAGGUAACAUCAUCGCUGACAUCAUUGUACGAGCAAUACCGCACUGGUAAAUGCCCCCAAGGCAACUUGAGAUUAAAGGGUACAAGAACAGUAAAUGUGUCAAAGUCUCCAGUGGUUGGUGCGGACUUUAUGACUGCAAAGUAUCUUAGCCAAACGGGACAACAAAUUUUGGAAGAAAAAUCUGAAUUGGAUAAAUAUUUGGAGGAAGGAUGUGAACGUUAUAGCCCCGACUUUGAUAUCUUAACUUGGUGGAAAGUUAAUUCUUCAAGAUAUCCUAUCCUCUCUUCCAUUGCUCGAGAUAUUUUGGCCGUACCGGUCUCGACUGUAGCAUCAGAGGCCGCAUUCAGCACGGGAGGUCGUGUACUCGAUGUCUUUCGUAGCUCCUUGACCCCGAGAAUGGUGGAGGGUCUUAUAUGUGCUCAAGAUUGGCUACGAUCCUCUCCACUUUCACUUUCAAUUGAGGAUGACUUAGAAGAACAAGAAAAUUUUGAGUCAGAGUAUUCAACUACAAUUAUGGAGCCGAACUCGAUAUCGGUUUCUCUUGAUGAUUGAUGAAGUUGGAAAUUGGUACUUGCUAAACCAAUUUUUUUUAUUCUUAUUGCAAAUUUACUUGUAUCUUGAACAGAGUUUGCAAAUUUACUUGUAUUAUUGUAGUGGUUACUAUAUGGCAAUGCCUUGGUGAUUACUUGACCCCCUCAGAAAUAUCAUCUCCAAUGGGUCACUCAUCAUCGCAGUUCUUGAUGCAGGACAGGCAUUGUAUAAUCAUAAUAAAGAUUGAGUUAUCUAGCUCUUUUAAGUGUGUUAGGCUAAUUCUUGACAGCCUUUCUCAAUGAAUUUCCAUUUGUGUUUUCCCAAACGAUGUUGUUUGUUUCUCGAUCGUUGUCCAGGUCUUGUCAAUUGCUUCUCUAGCUUAUUUAUGCAGCUACUUGGAGUAGAAAAUAGACAGGUUCAUGUGGACACUCUAAAAAACAAUUGGUGUUUCUUUUGUUUUUGCAGCUGCUGUUUGCUCGGGAGUCCUUCGUAAAGACCAAGCCAGCGAAGGAGCAUGUGGUCGCCGGAUGGGAGCCGAAGGUCAAUGCAGCAUGAAUCGCUGCUUCUGCGUUAUGAGCGUUAGUUGAACUUUUGUUAUGGAAGUGUGGUUGAGGCUUGAGAGCUCUCUGCCUAUUAGUUAAGCCAAUAAAUAUACCGACUCAUCUCACCCUUGUUGGGCUUAUUGUUUUGUCAACGAAGCCUUAUCAAUGUACUUAGCCCCCUUCUGUUC